CAAUAAAUAUAUUUAGUAAGUCCUUUUAUUUCCAUGGUGAAGCACGGGCAUAGUCAAUAAUAAAAUCAGAACAUCACGAUUCACAGUUCAGAUUAUUAAAGAUUUAUUUUCGUAUUAAUUCACAGAUCAAAAAUCACAAUUCACUAUUUGGACUGAUAGUGGCGGUCUCACGGUAGUCACGAUCUUGCUGGCGGUGUCACGAUCUGGCGGAGGCGCGGAGUGGACGAGGACACCGACGAGCUGGCCCUGCACGAGUGCCAGCUNNN
rnacentral:lncRNA from 1 species